rnacentral:tRNA from 1 species
ACCAAAAUAGCUCAGUUGGGAGGGCAUUAGACUAUAGAUUGAAAGUCCCUGGUUCGAUCCCUGGUUAUGGCA